rnacentral:rRNA from 1 species
UACAGAGGUCUCAAGCGUUGUUCGGAUUCAUUGGGCGUAAAGGGUGCGUAGGCGGCGCGGUAAGUCGGGUGUGAAAUCCCCGGGCUUAACCUGGGAACGUCAUUGGUGACUGCAGCGUUGAGUGUGCAGAGGGGGUAGAAUUCCACGUGUAGCAGUGAAAUGCGUAGAGAUGUGGAGGAAUACCGAUGGCGAAGGCAGCCCCCUGGGCCAACACUGACGCUCAUGCACGAAAGCGUGGGGAGCAAACAGG